GAUGCUGAAAUUAUAGGUGUGCACUGCCAUGCCUAGCACUUCUUUGAGACAGGAGCUUGCAAUAUAGUUUAGGCCAGCCCUGAACUUGGUAUGUAGUCCAGAAUGGUCUUGAACUCACGGUUUUCCUGCCUCAGUCUUGAGCGCUCGGAUUACAGGUGUGCACCACCAAGCCCAGCUUUAGAGGGAUUUGUACUGUUUCCUCUGCUAGAAAUAUAAGGGUGGGAGCCUAGAAAUCCAUGCAGUGCCAUUCCAGGAGUCAGCCCAAAGCAGCACCCUCAAGCAGACAGCUCACUUCCAGCCUCAGGGCUGCGUGUUGGACUUUGAACAGCAGCAGAGGGACACAGCUGGGCUUCCUGGUCCCUCAAGGAGUCAGCCGCACUGGCUGCUAUGUGUGAAGACUUAAGCAUUUUCAGGGAAGAGAGGCAAGCAGGAGAAAGUGGAGCCCAGCCCCUGGAACCCACUUCCUGACAGCCCAGUUCUACUGGCGGCCGAGUGUAUGGGAUGCAGGGUCAUCUGAGGGCCUCUGCUUACUGACCUCCCCAAGGGCCCACCGGCCACCCCCGCUGGACCCUGCACCCCACCUUGGUACCCAGAGCUCGGCGGGAGGAGUGCGCAGCCAGUGAGGGCUGGAGCCGGCAUUCGGCGCAGACCCAUGGUGCAGAGGCUCCCACGCAGGCCCACGUGUUCUCCUCCCUGCCAGCCCCAGACCUGCUCAGACAAGGAACUGGGACCGGAGCCACGCUCCUCACCAGGCCCCACAGCCGGUGCGGGCCGCAGCCGGGUCCAGAGCCUCCACUGUGGCAAACAGCACCCAACAUCACAGUCUGUGCCACAGUGGCUUCUGCCCCCCGGAGACCAGCAGACCUCCUGGGAGCCCUCGCUCCCUGUUCCCUGCGGCCCAGACUCCAGCCCUCCAAGGCUGGCCUGAGAGGGCACCCGAGAUCCAGCUCCAAAGGCUUCUGUCCGGCCGACCUGAAAAGGCUCUGUGCGUGUCCGCUCCUGCUCACAGCCAGUGUGCAGUGACACAGCAGCCUUCACCCAAACGACGCACGCUCGGGCGGAGAGGGCGGCCUGGGGCGCCAGAGCAGUGGGCCUGCUGGGAGCUCUGCACUGGCUCCUCCCGUGACCUUGGCCAGGGUGAGCUGCCACCGUGCUUCACACUCCCUCCUGCCUGUCCCCCACUACAGCUUGUCCUACAGCUGGGUCACAGGGGCCCUCUGCAUGCUAAGAUUCGCUCUUUCAAAUUCAGAUGCCCCGAAUGACAACCUCUCAAAUCCGCCUUGGCAGGAAAUGAGGGUCACCCACUGAUCCCACUCAAAAGGCCGGAUUCCGGUUUGGGCUGUGAAUCUCCGGACAAUUCCCCAAGUGUCCAUCAAAAUACCGGGUGAGAAGCUCUCGUUAUUUGUCAUUCGAGUGGCAGGCAGGCGCCACCCAGGAUGUCUGGGCUGCCCAGCCCCGGAGGGGCAGGACCAAGCUCCUCACGCGCUGGGGCAUGAUGAUGGGGCUGCAGCCAGCGGGGUGCAGCGCAGGCAGAGCACCUGCCCGGCGAGGGGGCGUGGGCAGCGCGGGACAGCAAGACCUCAAGGUGAAGGGGCCAGUUACGCUCUGCUCAGCAACUUCUCCCUUGUGAGGCUCUACCCAGAGCUGAUUGUUCUUUCACAAAAGCAGUCCCUUCCUCUGGCUGCCCAAAGCUGACUUGGGAACUGUUUACCCCUGGCUUUCCCUUGGCACGUCUUCCCAAGACCUGUGAACAAGAUAAACAUUAUGGCCAAGAGGGCCACAGUUUGUGAGAACUGGAAGGAAAUGCAGAGGUCAUUUCAUUCACCUCUUCCUUUUCGAAAAAGGGACAGCAAAGAACCCACGGCCACAGAGCUGGCCUGCAGCUGGCCAGCAUGGGAACCUUGGACUUGUGACCAACUCUUUCCUCCACCAAGGCUGCUGUUCCUCAGGGCAACGCUGAGCCCCACUUCUCAGCCAGGCACUACUGAAGGGCUCAGAGGCGGCGCAGGGUCCCUUGGGGCCCACACAAAGGCAGAACACAGGAAGUAACGGCAGCCUGCACUCACUGAGAGCUCCCUCUGCGCCAGGCCCUGCGGGUACCACACUGCGCCCUCACCGGAGGCCUGACGGAGGUGCUCACAGAGGAGGGGAGGUGACGAGUCUAAGGUCAAAGAACCUUACAGUCUAAGGUCAAAGUUACUUUUUUUUAACUUUUACUUUUUAGGUGCUGGGAAUGCAGGGCCUCACACAUGCUAGGCAAACCCUUUGCC